rnacentral:rRNA from 1 species
CGAACGGCAGCGCGAGAGAGCUUGCUCUCUUGGCGGCGAGUGGCGGACGGGUGAGUAAUAUAUCGGAACGUGCCCAGUAGCGGGGGAUAACUACUCGAAAGAGUGGCUAAUACCGCAUACGCCCUACGGGGGAAAGGGGGGGAUCGCAAGACCUCUCACUAUUGGAGCGGCCGAUAUCGGAUUAGCUAGUUGGUGGGGUAAAGGCUCACCAAGGCAACGAUCCGUAGCUGGUUUGAGAGGACGACCAGCCACACUGGGACUGAGACACGGCCCAGACUCCUACGGGAGGCAGCAGUGGGGAAUUUUGGACAAUGGGGGAAACCCUGAUCCAGCCAUCCCGCGUGUAUGAUGAAGGCCUUCGGGUUGUAAAGUACUUUUGGCAGAGAAGAAAAGGUAUCCCCUAAUACGGGAUACUGCUGACGGUAUCUGCAGAAUAAGCACCGGCUAACUACGUGCCAGCAGCCGCGGUAAUACGUAGGGUGCAAGCGUUAAUCGGAAUUACUGGGCGUAAAGCGUGUGUAGGCGGUUCGGAAAGAAAGAUGUGAAAUCCCAGGGCUCAACCUUGGAACUGCAUUUUUAACUGCCGAGCUAGAGUAUGUCAGAGGGGGGUAGAAUUCCACGUGUAGCAGUGAAAUGCGUAGAUAUGUGGAGGAAUACCGAUGGCGAAGGCAGCCCCCUGGGAUAAUACUGACGCUCACACACGAAAGCGUGCGGAGCAAACAGGAUUAGAUACCCUGGUAGUCCACGCCCUAGACGAUGUCAACUAGCUGUUGGGGCCGUUAGGCCUUAUUAGCGCAGCUAACGCGUGAAGUUGACCGCCUGGGGAGUACGGUCGCAAGAUUAGAACUCAGAGGAAUUGACGGGGACCCGCACAAGCGGUGGAUGAUGUGUAUUAAUUCAAUGCAACGCGAAGAACCUUACCUACCCUUGACAUGUCUGGGAAGCCCAAGAGAUUUGGCCGUGCUCGCAAGAGAA